GAUGAACGCUGACAGAAUGCUUAACACAUGCAAGUCAACUUGAACUUCGGUUUGGGUGGCGGACGGGUGAGUAACGCGUACAGAACUUGCCUCACAGCUAGGGACAACAUUUGGAAACGAAUGCUAAUACCUGAUAUUAUGAUUAUAUGGCAUCGUAUAAUUAUGAAAGCUAUAUGCGCUGUGAGAGAGCUUUGCGUCCCAUUAGCUAGUUGGAGAGGUAACAGCUCACCAAGGCGAUGAUGGGUAGCCGGCCUGAGAGGGUGAUCGGCCACAAGGGGACUGAGACACGGCCCUUACUCCUACGGGAGGCAGCAGUGGGGAAUAUUGGACAAUGGACCGAGAGUCUGAUCCAGCAAUUCUGUGUACACGAUGAAGUUUUUCGGAAUGUAAAGUGCUUUCAGUUGGGAAGAAAAAAAUGACGGUACCAACAGAAGAAGUGACGGCUAAAUACGUG
rnacentral:rRNA from 1 species